ensembl:snoRNA
GGCAUGUGUGCUGCCGGUUCACCUUUGGUCACUAGUGCAUGUGGUGUCAAAAAAGGCAUAAAUUAAUGUUUUACAGCCUUUUCUUACCCUAGAGUUUAUAUCUUAGGUGUAGGAGCUGUGUACAUAACAGAA